rnacentral:rRNA from 1 species
GACGAACGCUGGCGGCGUGCCUAAUACAUGCAAGUAGAACGCUGAAGUCAGGAUCUUGCUCUUCUUGGUUGAGUUGCGAACGGGUGAGUAACGCGUAGGUAACCUGCCUUGUAGCGGGGGAUAACUAUUGCAAACGAUAGCUACUACCGCAUAACAAUUGAUCACACAUGUCAUUUAUUUGAGAUGGGCAAUUUCUCCACUUCAAGAUGGACCUGCGUUGUAUUAGCUAGUAGGUGAGGUAAGGUCUCACCUAGGCGACGAUACAUAGCCGACCUGAAAGGGGGAUAGGACAAACUGGGACGGGAGCACGGCCAAGAACACUACGAGAGGCAGCAGUAGGGAAUCUUCGGCAAUGGGGGCAACCGUGAACGAGCAACGACGCGUGAGUGAAGGAGGUUGUCGGAUCGUGAAGAUCUGGUGUGAGUCAAGAACGGGUAUGAGUGUGGAAAGUUCACACUGUGACGGUAGCUUAAGAGGAAGGGACGGCUAACUACGUG